rnacentral:rRNA from 1 species
UACAGAGGUCCCAAGCGUUGUUCGGAUUCACUGGGCGUAAAGGGUGCGUAGGCGGUUGGGUAAGUUUGACGUGAAAUCUCCGGGCUUAACCCGGAAACUGCGUUGAAUACUAUCCAGCUAGAGGAAUGGAGGGGAGACUGGAAUACUUGGUGUAGCAGUGAAAUGCGUAGAUAUCAAGUGGAACACCAGUGGCGAAGGCGAGUCUCUGGACAUUUCCUGACGCUGAGGCACGAAAGCCAGGGGAGCAAACGGG